UACGGGGGGAGCAAGCGUUGUUCGGAUUUACUGGGCGUAAAGGGCGCGUAGGCGGCCUGCUAAGUCGAACGUGAAAUCCCUGGGCUCAACCCAGGAACUGCGUCCGAUACUGGUUGGCUUGAAUCCGGGAGAGGGAUGUGGAAUUCCAGGUGUAGCGGUGAAAUGCGUAGAGAUCCGGAAGAACACCGGUGGCGAAGGCGGUCUGCUGGGCCAAGACUGACGCUGAGGCGCGACAGCGUGGGGAGCAAACAGGG
rnacentral:rRNA from 1 species